GGGGCCGUCGUCUAGCCUGGCUAGGAUGCCAGCCUGGGGCGCUGGUGGUCCCGGGUUCAAAUCCCGGCGGCCCCA
rnacentral:tRNA from 2 species